UAGAAAUGGUGCAGGAUAGCAGCCUGUUAGCGUUCAUUUUGUUCAAUGGAGAGCCUUCUCACGCCCAAACCUAGGGAACUUCUCUCGAUGUUUCAACAUGUAUACGUUGUGAAUUCAUGGUGUGAUACAUUAGGUACAUAAGUUUUCAUUGACCUUCUGUUGUGUUUUGUUUACUGCUUGUUUCAAUCAGACUUGAUUUUUCUAUCUGAAACAAGAAUUCUGGACAAGAAAACGUUCUUUAAGUCUGUUAUUUGGUAUUUACAGGUAUAGGUACAAUAUUUCUGACAUGUCUUGACCUUCUGACAGGUAUUUAAGAGUGGCCCUCUCUUCAUAUCAUCGAAAGGAAUUGGAUGGAAAUAAUGGAAAAAACGUUGGUUCAUCCUCACACGAACGCCACUGGUUUUCUUCAAGAGUGAUCCUAGUACAUUACCACAGAGAAGUGGUGAAGUGAACCUUACAUUGGGGGGAUUGACCUUAAAUUACCACAGAGAAGUGGUGAAGUGAACCUUACAUUCUGGGAGGUAUGUAUCUAUUUAACAAAUAUUCUUUUGAAUCUUGAUUGGUCAUGCUUAAUGUACUAAAGUUGUUUGUCGUUUGUGUAUACCUCUCUCUCUAGACAGAUAAAUUACUGUUUGUUAUCUUUUGUUGUAUUUGGCACUCAUUUGCAGUGUAGUGGUCAGGGAAGACAAAAGACUGCUGACCGUCCUUUUUCCAGAUGGCCGUGAUGGUCGCACCUUUACCUUGAAGGUACACAUGAGAAUGUAUGGUGAGAAGACUUAAGUCAUGAGAUGCCCAAGAGAAAGAGGAUUAGAUCCAACUAGCCAUUGCAAUGUAUUUUUGGAAUAUGGCUUCAUUUUAUUUUGGAGGAUUGAUCAAAUACUUAUUUUGACCUGUAAUGAUACUGUUAUGCCAUCUAGAAAAACAAAAUGUAACGGCCCAAAUUUUGCAUAUCAUAAUGAUGUUUGUCGUUCUAUAUCUUACGUUUUAU